rnacentral:lncRNA from 1 species
AUGUUAGACUUGCAGAUCUUUCAAAUAAUCCUGGUGGGGAGUUUGGCUUCUGGGAUUCUGGUCAUGAAUGCAGUGUCCCCCUGUGGUGGUUUUUGGGGCAUGGGCUGUACCCAUGGCUGGGUUUUUCUCUCCAGAUAUCUGCACAACUUCAUCUUCCCUCUGCACCUGGCCGAGUUGCUUCAGCCUCUACAAGACACAUAUUUGAAGGAAGUUCUCUCAAUCCUGGUAAGGAAAGUGAGUGAAAGGACAUCUACAUCCUCCUCCUUCCCACUCCACCUGAGCCACCUACGCCUCUUCAGGGGGCCCCAAGGGACCUACCUUAAUCCAGAUCAAGUACCUGGUUUGAGUCUUGGGUGCGCAGUUUUCUAG